ensembl:lncRNA
CUGCUUUCAGAGCAGCAAAAAGCAACUUGUCCCGCAGCAUCAAGCAGAGAAAAGUGGGACUACGCACGGAAAGUCUAUGAUCAUUUCACCAGUCAUCAUUUCACCAGUUCGAGAGACACGGUGCAUGUGUCAGGGCAUCCAGACCAUCACAGACUAAAGGACCCCGCCAUACACAUUCAACGCCUUCUGCGUCUGCUUUGAGGGCCAGAACCCAGAGCCAGCGAGGAGAAGGUUCCACACAUCCAUAUUGUUUACAUACAGUUUACAAUGUUUACACUAUAUUUAUAUUCAAUGCACUGCGUCUUUCCAAUGUGUCCCCGCAUUAAGUAGUCUUUUUUUUUAUAGGGCUUAUUUUUAGUAUAGUGUUUUCUAUGUUAUGUUGCUCCAUAUGGUCUAAGGAGGACAUCAUUUGGUCUCUUCUGUGUGGAUUACUGUAUAUGGCAGAGAUGACGACAAAGCUCUGCUCGACUUGACUAAUGUGGGUGGUUUCUGCUUCUUCCCUGCUGUCUCUUCAUGCUUGAUGGUCUCUGUGUUGGUUGAUGUGGGACGCAGAUCAAAGAUCAGAGACUGCUUGAAGGUAGAGCCAAGACGAGAUGCUGUGCUGUGCUGUGCUCUCUGCAUCACCCUGGCUUUUAGAAACUAGAGCCAGGCAUGUGUAGUCUAGACAUCAGACACUGUUAACUAACGUCACAACCGGUGACUUUACCCUAUGGGGAUAUUUUUAUUUUUUCUUUUUCUUUUUUUAACUUGAAAACUCCAACCCAUGCACAUGUAGUGUGUUUAUAAAGGUUGGCAGAGACAAAUUGAAUCAUGAUUUCCAGUGGACGGAGAACGGCAGAAAUAUAAUUCUAUAUUAAGUAAUCUUUAGUUGAAGAGCCAUAAUCUGAUUGUUAGCGUUUGGAACAGUGUUUGUUUCAGAUGGCCUGGAUAAAUCAUGCCGUGGUCCAUGAAGAUGUAAAUGUCCAUUCAUUUUUUUUUUGAUUUUUGUACUUAAACUCCAAUUUCUAAUCUGUGCUCCAAACUAAACCUUGACCCUUGUGGCAGCAAAUAAGUGUAUUAUCCUGACUAGCAGGUAAAGGCAUGCAUAAACUGAGACAUUUUAGUUGUUUCUUAAGCGUGUGAAGUAUUCUUGUGCAAGUGCAGUCCAAACUUGUUCGGGAUGAACAAUCCAAUGUGUUUGAAGCGUAACAACCAAGCCAACUUUCCUUCAGACUCAGGAUUGUGAAGCAGAACAGCUUCUGGGUGCUAAUACCUUGUAAAACUAGGAUUACAUGUUCCCUCAGUUAGAAUUAUUGCUGAUGGAUUUUGAACUAAUCAGAACUGUACAUUCA